AGAACGAACGCUGGCGGCAUGCCUAAUACAUGCAAGUCGAACGAAUGCCCUUUGGGGUGUUAGUGGCGCACGGGUGCGUAACGCGUGGGAAUCUGCCCUUGGGUUCGGAAUAACAGUUAGAAAUGACUGCUAAUACCGGAUGAUGACGUAAGUCCAAAGAUUUAUCGCCCAGGGAUGAGCCCGCGUAGGAUUAGCUAGUUGGUGGGGUAAAGGCCUACAAGGCGACGAUCCUUAGCUGGUCUGAGAGGAUGAUCAGCCACACUGGGACUGAGACACGGCCCAGACUCCUACGGGAGGCAGCAGUAGGGAAUAUGGACAAGUGGCGAAAGCCUGAUCCAGCAAUGCGCGUGAGUGAUGAAGCCUUAGGUUGUAAAGCUCGUUUUACCGAGAUGAUAAUGACAGUAUCGGAAGAAUAAGACCUCCGGACUAACGUCCGUCGACCGA
rnacentral:rRNA from 1 species